ensembl:lncRNA
UUUUUUUUUUUUUGCACCCACAGCAUAUGGAAGUUCCCAGGCUAGGGGUCAAAUCUGAGCUGUAGCUGCCGGCCACAGCCACAGCCACAGCCACAUGGGAUCCAAGCCGUGUCUGCGACCUACACCACAGCUCACAGCAAUGCCAGAUCCUCGACCCCACUGAGCGAGGCCAGGGACUGAACCCACAUCCUCAUGGAUACUAGUCGGAUUUGUUUCUGCUGUGCCACAGCAGGAACUCCCUUAAUCAUUAACUCUUGAGUCAGCCUUUUUAAGACUGAGGGAAGGCCUGGGAGACUAAAGGGAAAGCCUUUUGCUUCACAACACGAGGACUCAGGGGCUUGUACACAGUCACCUAAGUGGGUAUCCUGGGACCAGGUGCAGGGUCUCCAAAGAUCACCCUUGGGAUGGGAGCACAACUGCAUUCAAGGAACUCUCAAAGCAAUUCAAGAAGCUUUUCCAUGGGGGCCUCCAGCAAAAAAUGCAGACAGUUCAGGGGCGAGUCAAAGAUUUUUAAAACACAACAGGUUCAGAAGUUCCUAUAGUGGCUCAGCAGUAAUGAGCCCCACUAGUAUCCAUGAGGACAUGGGUUUGAUUCUGGCUUCCCUCAGUGGGUUAAGGAUCCAGCAUUGCCAUGAGCCGUGGUAUAGGUUGAAGAUGCGUCUUGGAUCCAGCGAUGCUGUGGCUGUGUUGUGGGCUGGCGGCUACAGCUCCCAUUCGACUCCUAGCCUAGGAACUUCCAUAUGUUGCAGGUGUGGCCAUAAAAAGACAAAAUAAUAAUAAUUAAAACAAGCCUUUUAGGUCGUAUACAUUUUUUAAGUCACCACUUCCUACUAUCCUACUGUGUACUGAAAUGUUUCUUUAUUAUUUCUAUUAGCUAUUUAUUUAUUUAUUUGCUUUUUAUGGCUGCACCUGUGGCAUGUGGAGGUUCCCAGGCUAGGGGUCAGAUCAGAGCUGCAACUGCUGGCCUUCACCACAGCCACAGCAAGGCAGGAUCCGAGCCACAUCUACAACCUACACCACAGCUCACGGCAACUUGGGAUCCUUAACCCACUGAGUGGGACCAGGGAUUGAACCCUCAUCCUCAUGGAUACUAGUUGGGUUUGUUACCACUGAGCCACAAUGGGAACUCCAGAAUCCUCAACCCUUUUUAAGAAACCUUAACUUUUAGUGAAAACUAAGAAGUAAUUAUGGACUGUCUUUUACAUUAGUAUUCUGCAGAUUGGUGAAUAUUAUCUCUGUAUCAAAUGCCAAUGAUAAUUUCUAAAACAUUUGUUUUCUUAUAGAGAACAUCUCAGGGUGGCUCCAAAUAUAGUAAGUAAUAGUCCUAAAUACCUUUAGUCUCUCUGUUUAGUAAUUAAUGUCUCAGUAUCUUAUUUUAUUUGGGAAUGACCUAGCUAUUCAGUAAAUUUUCAUCUCUUAAACUGGCACAACUUUCGAACUUUAAGUUACCAAAUAUCUGGAGAGAUCAACUUAAACAGACAUUUAAAAAAUAUAAUUAUUUUAAAGAGGUUACCCCAAAGCUCUUAUCUUGUUUACCUUUACUUUAAAGUUUCAUCAUAUCAAGUGAUUUUCCUUACCGAAAAAUUUGCAGCCGAUAAAGGUCUUAUUUGACUUCUAUUAAACCUAGGUACAAUAAAAAUAUUAUGCUUAAUGACUCUACAGACAUGUGUUGAUUAGACCAACAAACUUAUACUAACUUUAAUAACAGCUAUUAACUUAUUGAUUAUAACCUGUGUUUACUUUUUUUUUUUUUUUCCCACUGUACAGCAAGGGGGUCAGGUUAUCCUUACAUGUAUACAUUACAAUUACAGUUUUUCCCCCACCCUUUCUUCUGUUGCAACAUGAGUAUCUAAAUUUAGAAGGUAGUAAAACCCUGUGUUUACUUUCAAUUAAAUAGAGAUCUUUAUAAAUUCAGUUUUGAAAACACCUCCCAGAGAUAGAAAUAUCUCAUGUAUAUUGUGCACACAAACAUAUUAACAAGAAAAACUACAGAUCUUGGGAGUUCCCGUGGUGGCUCAGUGGUUAAUGAAUCCAACUAGGAACCAUGAGGUUGUGGGUUUGGUCCCUGCCCUUGCUCAGUUCAUUAACCACUGAGCCACAACGGGAACUCCUAAAUUUUAUUUCAUUCUUAUACUCUCACUGUACCAGUGAGGUUGUUUUUUCAAAGAGGGAAAGUGCUUGCUUUUAUUGCUUGUUAUCCCCAUUCUGGACUCUGCUUUGAUAUUUAAUGUGUCCUUUUUUAUUCUCCCUGCCAGAUCUGGCCUUGUGUCUUGUUCACUUUGGGGAAGGAGGAGGGGGAGGGAUGAUCACGGACUUGACAUUGGCCCUGUUCCCCUAACCUCCAGCUGUGUGACUACCCAGGUGCUAAACUUUGCUGGGCUCCCCACGUGCACACUAUGUGCUAAUGGGAAUGAGCUCAUUGAAAGCUUCAUCCAUCCCAUCCCCUCCUGUCUAGCACAGCACGGACUUGCUCAUAGCAGGGACCACAAUAUGCCAGUACAGAACCCUGUGCAAAUGCUCAGGAAAGGGGCCCCUGGAGACACGGGGACACUUCUGGGGUCUCUGCUGGGAAUGUCAAGCCACCAGGGAGUCAGCAUGAAAUGCCGAGCGUUGAUGAGCCCUCACUUGUCCCUCUGGAUGGCAGGUGGUGGCCCCAAGCUAGACUGGUACCCUGGGACCAGUCACUUCCUCUCAGUAAGGAAUAAGACCAAAAGUCAGCAAAAAUUAUCCUUCCUGGGGCGUUCCCUGAAAUCACACCCCUUGCAUUCUGUCCUCACUGAAGACUUUGUUGAUGUGAACUUUUACCCCUUGUGAUGACAAGCCCUUUCGUGGCCAAGACUAUGUCUGGCCAUGCUGAACCAAGUGCCAGUAGGGACUUCAGACCUGUACACUGAAUCGAUGUUGAACCCCUCACACCAGCACCAACCAUGGCAUCUUGGUAUAAAUUACAGAAAUCAUUUCCAGGUGUGCACAUGGCAGCCCUGAGCCAGGUGCCCAGUAAGACAAGGCAUGGGACCAGGGCCCUCCUUGCCACCUGCCACAGUUAGUUGUUUAUUUCUAAUGUCCCAGCCUUCUCCAAGCUCUUGUCCCAGCUUUCCCUGUCCUCUCACCAUGAAUAUCCCUGGAGCCUUCAGCAGGGCAGUGAACUAAAUAUAGGACUUUCCUUUCAGAAUCAUGGAGAGGAUUAAAUAGAUAAUAACAUGGAGUGUUUGGCAAUGAGCCUGACAGCUUAAUAAAAGCUCAAAAUUGGCUUGCUUGCACUUUUUGUCCCCACCUCCCAAAAAAACUGCUAACAAAACAUUUUUAUUCCCAGGGAAAAAAUAAGGCCUUCACAGACCAAAUUUCCACAAUGCCUAGGGUGGGAGUGAAAGAAAGAGUCCACAAGCAGCCUGCAUGAUUCCAAAGGUCCAAAGGACUUCUGCUUCCUCCUCUAAUGCAUUCAUUAAGCACCCGCUGUAUGCAGCACACUGUGCCAAGUGCUCCCCUCAGAUCAGCGAUGUGGCCAGGCAUGAGAAUGAAUCCCAAUCUUACGGAUGAGAAAUGUCAGGCUCGAAGUUUCCAAGUUCACCCAAGGUCACUGGCCAGAAAGUGGGAUCCACUGGCAAAUGUGGGAUCCAAUUUCAGGACAGCCUGAGUCUGCAGCCCAUCCACUUCCUGCCCCACCUCUUUGCUCUUCCCCCUCAAUUAUGAGCCAGCGACAUCUGCCCAAAAUUUUGUAGGGGGUCCCUGUGUGUAAGGCAUGGUGCCAAGAGUGGACAUCAAACCCAUCUUAUAAGACUUGGAAAAAACCAAGCCAAUCCAAAGUGCAAAAUUCCUGGACUGCAGGUCUGAACACAGGCCCAAGAGAGAUGCAGAAGGAUUUUUAUUGUCCUUGGCCUCCUCUUGAGGUCCAUUUGCCAGCUCCUUUCACUGCAGGGGGUGCAGGUUGGGAGAGGGGGCUAGCCCCAGGAUGCCACUUAAGACCACAAGGGCUUGACUGUUUGCACUUCUACGCAGUUGCCCAUCUAGGAAGACAGAUUUUGGUAAUGGCCACCUGCACCAAGCAGUCAUUUCCUGCCUCCCUGCAUCUCAGCUGAGCCAUGUGAAACUGACAUUUCUGUCCCUCAAAGAUGGUUGUGUAUCAGCCAUUGUAUAUGGUUCAGCUUAACUAUGACUGGUCAAGGUCAUAGCCAGAGUUUUCUCUCUGAGAAAAGGGCAUUGCAUCUGAAAGCAAAGAAAGCAUAUACGUCUCUGGGGCUGAAAACUGGCCUGAGAUGGCCCAGGUCAGAAAGCCAUGGACCACUUCCCCGGGGAAGAUUUGGGUAAGAGGCAGGGGUGGAUCAGGACACCAAGCAGAAUCUGGGAAUGGAGAAGCAAAGCUCUGGAUGGGUGGGCCCUUGCCUUGGCAAAGACACCAUCUUGGUACAACCAGCAUGAAAAGGAUGUCAUGGGGUGUGGAAACUCCCUUGGUUAAAGACGCGUGAACUUUGGUUUUAGUUGCGCUGGGGUGGGAGGCAAUGACAACCAGGAGAUGUGUGCUGAGGUUUCUCAGGGCCUGUCUUGUGGUAUCACAAGGAAGAGGAGGGGCUGCAGAGGACCAGGGCCAAAGGGCUUCCCUGCAGCCUCUGGACUAAGGCCUGGCUGUGAGGAGAGGGACAGACAAGUGUCACUUCCCAACCUGAGCAGAAACGUCUUGUGUUUCCAUUUUUGUCCAGAAGGAAACAGGAAAAGAAUAGUGGGAGAGGCCAGGCCACAGAGAAGUGCAGGGCUGGUAACUAUCAGGUUAAUUAGCCCCAGGACAAGGGCAGCAGGCUAACUGUGCACAGUCCUCCAUCAGCCCUUUCAUGACUGCAAAGCCCUCAGUGAUGGUGAUACCCCCUCUGCACUUGCAGUUGUCAGAUGACCACCCAUCCUGGUUGGCCUAGAACUGAAAGUCUGACAUGUGAGGCUUUCAGUGCUAAAACCAGGCAAGUCCUGGGCAAACCAAGGCAAGGUAGUCACCCUCUCUGACUCUGUGUCUUAUCCCUUAAGGAAGAGAAGGACUUAGUUGGUUCUAAGAAAAAGAGGAAAAGAAAUGGCUCUUAAAAACAAAGAAGCAGCUCUGGGUGCAGGUGUUCCCAGGGCUCGGCAGUGUCUCAGACCUCUCUCUUCAGAUUUGGCUUCAUUCAGGAGGAAUUAGCAUCCAGAGGAUGGAGAGGGGAGAGCAAAGGAAGGGGCUCAUGAACAGUUGCUUUGGGCAAGUUUGGACUCUAAGUGUGAAUUACAGCACCCCUCCCCCCACAACACACACACACACACACACACUUUGGACUCUAAGUGUGAAUUACAGCACCCCUCCCCCCACAACACACACACACACAAACACACACACACACCCCACCCUUCUACUCCCUGCCUGUGGUCCUCUUCCCCCAUCCACACCCUGGUCAGGGUAGCAAGCUUUUAGGUUGACUUUUGAAAAUCAAAGAAAAAAGAUCCAUCUCAAGUUUCAAAAGGCUUAGAUUCAAACACUAAGUGAGCCAUUUACUGCAUAGUUUCUGGCAGGUCCCUUAAACCUCUCAGAGACAGGUUUCCUCUCUUUCAGAGUUGUCUGUUACAGCCUCUGUCACAGAGACUGUUCUGAGGAUUAAACAUUGGGAAAUGUUUUGGUCAGACACCCAACCAGAAGUUUGUUUCUUCCAGGCUGCCUAAGGAAGCGGCAGAAUUCCAACUUUGUUUUUCUGAGAACUAAUGCUGUUACUUGUCU